UCCGCCCUGGUGUAAAGGCAGCACGCCGGCCUUUGGAGCCGUGCAGUCCAGGUUCGAAUCCUGGGGGCGGAG
rnacentral:tRNA from 2 species